rnacentral:rRNA from 1 species
UACGGGGGGUGCGAGCGUUGUCCGGAAUCACUGGGCGUAAAGGGCGCGUAGGCGGUGCGGUGAGUCACCUGUGAAAUCUCCUGGCUCAACUGGGAGCUUGCAGGCGAAACUGCCGUGCUGGAGUGUGGGAGAGGUGCGUGGAAUUCCUGGUGUAGCGGUGAAAUGCGUAGAUAUCAGGAGGAACACCUGUGGUGUAGACAGCUUACUGGACCAUUUCUGACGCUGAGACACGAAAGCGUGGGUAGCAAACAGG